rnacentral:RNase_P_RNA from 1 species
CUGCCCGCCUUGGCGGGGGGAGGAAAGUCCGAGCAACACAGAGCGCCGCACGAGCUAACGACUCGACGUCCGUGAGGGUGUAGAAGCGUAACAGAGAAUGACCGCCUGUCGGGCGAUUCGCUAUCGGAAUGAUCGGCAGGUAAGGGUGAAAAGGCGGGGUAAGAGCCCACCGCGGAGGCAGCAAUGUCGUCCGGCUGUACGCCUUGCGGGUUGCAAGACCAUGUAUAUCGACAGCUAAGGGCUGCUCGUCCGAUGUCGAGGGGUAGGUUGCUGGAGGCUGCGGGUGACCGCAGUCGUAGAUAAAUGAUAGAGGCCCCGCUUCGGCGGGGUACAGAACUCGGCUUACAGG